ensembl:lncRNA
GCCAUUUCCUUCUCCAAUGCAUGAAAGUGAGAAGUGAAAGUGAAGUCGCUCUGUCGUGUCUGACUCUUAGCGACCCCAUGGACUGCAGCCUACCAGGCGUCUCCGUCCAUGGGAUUUUCCAGGCAAGAGUACUGGAGUGGGGUGCCAUUGCCUUCUCCGGAAUUACUUUAUAUGUACAUUUUAAAUGCAACAUAUUUGAGACCCAAUGGACUGUAGCCCACUAGGCUUUUCUGUACAUGGAAUUCUCCAGGCAAGAAUACUGGAGUCAGUAGCCAUUCCCUUCUCCAGGGGAUCUUCCCGACCCAGGUCUCCUGCAUUGCAGGGAGAUUCUUUACUGUUUACGGUCCAAGCUGCCAGGGAAACCCAAAUACAACAGUUGAUGAAUUAUUUUAUAUACACACUGUAAAUCCAACAUAUUUAGUUAUGAUUGGGAAGCAGCCUUAAACUAUUUCUGUUUUUUGUUUUUUUAGCAACAGAAAGAUAUAAAACAGUUACAAGUGGAAAGGCUACUGCAGCUGCCUUGUAUUUUUAGCCCAUAACCAAACCACUGAAGUCUCAAGAUACUUAGAAAAAUACAAAACAAUAGUGUUCAAGUUAAGAAUUGUAUGUUUUGGGUGGGGAGGUGGGAAUAACUGCUUUGGCUUAAAAUACUCAACAGUUCGGAGUCAUCAUAGUUAGAAGACAGCAGCUCCUAAGGCGAUCUGUAUCUAAAGAGGGAAAUCCAGCCAGGAAGCAAACUAAAUGACUCUUCACUCACAUCUUCACACUGUUCAGCUGAAGAUGGUCCCAUUAGAAGCUGUUGAGACCAUUUUUACCAUUUCAUAAGGGAAAUCAUUUGGUAAUAUGAAUGACAUUUUCAUCUUCUUAUCUGGGAUGAAUGAUAACUUAUGAAACAUCUUUCCCUUUUUAUUUUUAAAAUAUUUUAAAGAUAUUUUAAAAAAUGUGGACCAUUUAAAGUCUUUGUUGAAUUUGUUAUAAUAUUGCUUCUGUUUUGUUUUGGUUUUUUGGCAGUGAGAUAUGGGGAAUCUUAGCUCCCUGACCAGGAAUCAACCCCACAUCUCCUGCGUCAGGAGGCAAAGUCUUAACAACUGGACUGUCAAGGAAGCCCCAUGUUUUCCCCUUUUAAAACAUAAGCAUCUGUAUCCCAACCCAAAACAGACACCUUUCUGUGUCAUCUACAGCCCACCAGUCCAGAGCCGGGGGAGCAGAAAGAGUGGAGUGUACUACAAUCACAGAUGUGUGAUUUUUCCUGGUAUACUAAUCUCACUGUUAAUUUUCAUUUAACACAUCAUUCCUCUGAAUGCCUGGGGCACAACACACUGGAAAACUGCAGGCAGGGAACAAGGAGGCGGCACUCACUCGCCCUUGUUUCUCAGGAACCCAGGCUCAUCCAGCAUGGAAUUACAAGUGACCCCAUCAUCUGUGUCUGUGGGGAGGCUUCUGUCAUGCAUGGACCACGCCUCACUGGACACCCUGAGUCUCCUGGGGGGAUUCUGUUGCCUCCAUCAUCCUGGCAUUGGCUGCAGUUCUGGUCCAGACGGCCAGCACAGCUUCCUGGCUGCAGUGAUUACCACCGUAGUACUCGCUCCCUCAGUGAGAGCGGGAGAUCCUUUACUGCGGGCUCCCCUCCUCAGAGGCAGGAGUGUCUGCCAGUCAGUCAGUGUCUUCCGACCACAUCCUUUUCUUAGACCUUUCUGGAGACGGUUCCCCUUAGUCCAUCAUUGAUUUUCUUUAUGAGUGUCUGGAUCUUGGCUUCCUUUGCCGGGAUGGGAAUAUUCUUUUGGGGAAGCACAUUCAGAGAGUUGCUGAUAAUGCGGCCAGCCUCUGCUCAGCUGUCUGUCACUGACACCAGGCCCCACCGCGUCUCGCACACAGAGUUUAGAGAGUAAUGGAGGACGAGGUAUCUUCUUCAGAGGUUUUAGGCUCUCACUGCGUGUUGCAUUCUCUUAUGGACUGGAGCCUCGUCACCCCUCACAGACAGUUCUCAUUUGGCCCCCUUCCAGGAGGUUCUCUGUGAAGCUGAGGCACUGGCUUGCUUGAAGCCAGGUGUUUCUCUCCAGCUUUUACUGACAACAGAUUUGAAUUUGAGAAUCACGUGUUCUUCACCCAGCUUCUCUAUGGAGUUUCACUCUUGGCCUUUUGCCUUCUCCAUCAUCUGAAAAAGAGUUGAGAUAUGCAAAAAGAAAAUUCUUCUGACUUCUGGCUCAAGUUUGUUCUAAAAGUCUCCUUGUGCUUCAUUUCACUCAAAGGUAUUCUCAAACCUGCCAUUCUUAAAAAGGAUGUAUAUUUAGUUCAGACUUAAUAGAAAUGAAAUAAGUCAGACGUUUUACCCUAGGUAGAUCCAUUUUUAAAUCCUGAGAGUGCUAAAGUGAUGACAAAAAUAGCUGGACAGGUG